ensembl:lncRNA
UUGUUGAAGGUGGGUUUAAUGAUAAGAGCCAAGGUUGUUAUGCAGGUGUCUCUGCUAUGAUGUUUCCCUUUCACAUCACAGAUCUAGCUGUUGUGUUUCAGUUGUGGGAUGACUUAAUUGUUAGUUACAGUUAUGCCACUCUCAAUCUCCUUUCUCUCUACCCACCUUUGUAUUUGUGUUUUUAGUCUUUGCCACAUGCUGACUUUCUCCAUGUCUUCUCCUUUCUAGAUCGGGUGGUGGAUGAUCUAAAUCCAAUGCUGAACUUUACUCGGAAGGAAGUGGAGAACCUACUGCACUUUGUUGAGAAGGAGCCAGCUCCCCAAGCAUCCUUGAACAUAAAAGGGAUCAAGGAAUCAGUCCUGCAAUUUGCCUGUCUGAAGUACCCUCACCUUAUCACCAAGGAGCCUUUCGAGCAUGAAUCAUUGCUUCUCAACCGAAAGGAUCACAAGCUGACCAAGGCUGAGAAAAAAGCAGCAAAGAAAAGCUAUGAGGAAGACAAACGAACAUCAGUCCCCUAUACCCGCCCAUCAUAUGCACAAUAUUACCCUGCCAGUGACCAGAGCCUGACCAGCAUCCCUGCCUUCAGUCAGAGGAACUGGCAGCCAGCACUGAAGGGUGAUGAAAAGCCAGUGGCCAGUGUUCGUCCUGUACAGUCUACUCCCAUCCCAAUGAUGCCUCGCCAUGCGUUCCUCUUGGGGGCAGUGUAAGCUCUGCCUCUAGCACAAAUCCAUCCAUGAACUUCCGAUCAACUACUUGCAGCGGGCAGGAGUCCUCGUCCAGAAGGUGGUCACCACAACAGGUGUGGGGCAAUGCCAGCAAGAAGAGGAUGGAGCCACUUUUGGAGUCUAAAGUGAUGUAGACCAGAUAUAUGCAAAUAAUAGCUAUCUAAAAUAAUCAUUAGAACUAACCUUUUUUUCCAAAUCAAAAUCUUUUUGAUUUUUAAGUAACAUUCCCACCGGCUUGAACCAUAUGUGUGACUGUACCAUUGGGUGGCUUAAAAAACACUGGUAUACUGUUUAGUUAUGUACUUGUACUGGUGGUACAAAUAAAUCUAAUAGCUUUUACUAGUCUUUUUACUAAUAAAAAUUAAGGAAAAGUCUAUAAAUGGACUGAAUCUAGAUAGUUAAAGUUGAAUAAUAGUAUAAAUUAAUAACAUAGUAAUUAAAAAUUACAAUAAUAAAAUUUAUUUUAGAGCACAUUCACAUUUUUAUUUUUAUUACACUACUUUUAUAACUAAAUUUUUUUUUUUGUAUCAGGGAUCGAACUCGGGACUUUGUGCUUGCAAGGCAGGCAGCGGAACCACUAAGCUAAAUCCCCGGCCCUCAAAUUUAUUUUAUUAAAUUAAAAGAAAUUUAUUUGUAUCUGGAAAUUUCUUUAAAACAUUUUAUACAUAAAGGCAACCAAUUUGUGCAUAAUGCAUAAAAGUUUAUAGUACAUUUGACUUGUUUUGUGGCCACAAUGGCACCCAUUCUUUCAGAUAACUUUCGAUAACAUUCUCUACAUUGCUUGCAUGCAUUUCUUUCUGAUUCUAAAUAAGGUUCUAUAAAGUGAAUGUUUUAUUGGGUUAUUUGUACGUGUAGCAUUUCUUUAUGGGUUAGUAAUUUAUUGAUAAUUAAUUCUCUAGGGCCGGGGAUUUAGAUCAGUGGUUCUGCCACCUGCCUCGCAAGCAGAAGGUCCUGAGUUCGAUCCCUGGUACCAAAAAAAAAAAAAUUAAUUCUCUAAAUUUUAGUGUGGAAAUCUUAUGAGUAACUCAUUGCUGGUGUAUAUAAUAUACAUUUACAACUGCUAUACCUUAAAUUAGCUGUAUUAUAAUUUUUUUAUACCAUUUUAAUGUUUUCCUUAAGGAACUGUAAUAUGAUGGCAUCUGAUAUGCUAAAUCAGCACCUUUCUUUGCAUUAUUGUAAUCAAAGAGAAGAUCAGGUUUUAUGUUACCAGGUUUUUCUUUGUUCAGUCUACAUGUAUGAUUUUUACAAAAAAAUCAUUAACAUGCAAUCAGUUCUUCUAUCAGUCCAUUUAAAAAUUUUACACCAGAAAAAUUUUCAAAAGUUUAUGAUUCGGGGCUGGGGAUUUAGCUCAGUGGUUUUGCCGCCUGCUGCACAAGCGCAAGGACCCGAGUUCGAUUCCUGGCACCAAAAAAAAAAAGUUUAUGAUUUGCUGCGUUUUUGCUGUCUUUGUACUGGUAAAAAUUUUCGAUUUGGCUGCAAAAGUAUGUUUCUUUUUGUAAAAGUUCUUUUACUGGGGGUACACUUGAAUAAUAACUACGAGUAUAUAAUGUGUGAUGUUCAAAUAAUAGGCUGUUCAUUAAUUUCAAAACAACAUCAUAAGAAUGCCCAUGCAUUGAAGGGUUUGCAUUUUUUCAAACAUAGAUGUGUAAAUCAUAGGUGUGCUCAUUAGGCAAACAUAAUUGAUAUAAUUUUAUCCUGGAUUUGUACCAUUUUCCUUUGAUAUGUUGGCAGAAAUAUGGAUGUCCUCAC